rnacentral:rRNA from 1 species
GUGGGGGAUAUUGCACAAUGGAGGAAACUCUGAUGCAGCGACGCCGCGUGAGUGAAGAAGUAUUUCGGUAUGUAAAGCUCUAUCAGCAGGGAAGAAAGGCUCGUAAGAGAGAUGACGGUACCUGACUAAGAAGCCCCGGCUAACUACGUGCCAGCAGCCGCGGUAAUACGUAGGGGGCAAGCGUUAUCCGGAUUUACUGGGUGUAAAGGGAGCGCAGACGGUGAUGCAAGUCUGAAGUGAAACCCCACGGCUCAACCGUGGGCUUGCUUUGGAAACUGUAUGACUAGAGUACUGGAGAGGUAAGCGGAAUUCCUAGUGUAGCGGUGAAAUGCGUAGAUAUUAGGAGGAACAUCGGUGGCGAAGGCGGCUUACUGGACAGCAACUGACGUUGAGGCUCGAAGGCGUGGGGAGCAAACAGG